CCGGAAGGCCGCGGCGGCGUCCCGGCUGCUAAGGCGGGUCCCACGCGGCUGGCAGCGGACACGCCGGACCUAGGGCCGGAGGACGGACGGCAACCGCCUCUGCGCGGACCGGGGCUGGGCCGUGCGGCGGCAGCGGCGCCAGGGGAUGCUCUUGCUGGGCCUGGCCUCUCCCUUCUCAACUUAGGGCGGCGGCGGGCCCGCGCCCCUAGCUCCCGGGCCAUGGCGCUGAGGGAGCUCAAAGUGUGUCUGCUCGGGGAUACAGGUGUAGGUAAAUCGAGUAUUGUGUGGCGGUUUGUGGAAGACAGUUUUGAUCCAAACAUCAACCCAACAAUAGGGGCAUCUUUUAUGACCAAGACUGUCCAGUACCAAAAUGAGCUACAUAAAUUCCUAAUCUGGGAUACAGCUGGACAAGAACGAGAGUAGUUGCUCUGAGAUGCAAACCUGCCUACAGCCUGCCUGAUGCCCCAUCACACAGCCCAGAGCUGCACAGGAGAUACUCAUGGGGCCAGGCCACAGGCCAGAGGCGCUGACCAGGAUGGCCUGCAUGGAGAAGACAGGAGAGGGGCGCCACCUGAUGAGCACUCACUCCAGCCGGUUGUUGCUGGGCGUGAGCACAGUGCUAAGGAAAGCCACACACCUGACGGCUACCCACAAAUUGUUUGAAAUGCUGGGAGGAUCACAUAAGACACGUCUUGUAAGCCUGUCUGGGUCAGGGACUGCUCGUUUAUCCUGGGCAGUGCAUUGAAGGUCCAGAAUGUGCCAUCCACAGCCAGGCUCUAUUUUCACCUCCUCCCACCAGUCUGUCCUCUAGUACAAACUGCGUGCUGUUCUCCAGCAUGCCAUAGUUUCACACCCUCAUGCCCUUCCACAACUCUAUUCAGCCUUCGGAACCAACCUCCGAUGUCACCUAAAGGGGACUUUCCUGCCAUCUCUGCUCUCGGACAAAUAACCACAUCGCCACACUGCUGUGUUGCUCUAGACCCAUAUCUGGAGGCCUCCCGGGUUCCUC
rnacentral:sRNA from 1 species